AGCUUCGGCUUAACGGAAAAGGGCAUCGGAACUGGAUAACUUGAGUGCAGAAGAGGGUAGUGAACUCCAUGUGUAGCGGUGGAAUGCGUAGAUAUAUGGAAGAACACCAGUGGCGAAGGCGGCUACCUGGUCUGCAACUGACGCUGAGACUCGAAAGCAUGGGUAGCGAACAGGAUUAGAUACCCUGGUAGUCCAUGCCGUAAACGAUGAGUGCUAGGUGUUGGAGGGUUUCCGCCCUUUCAGUGCCGGAGCUAACGCAUUAAGCACUCCGCCUGGGGAGUACGACCGCAAGGUUGAAACUCAAAGGAAUUGACGGGGGCCCGCACAAGCGGUGGAGCAUGUGGUUUAAUUCGAAGCUACGCGAAGAACCUUACCAGGUCUUGACAUCUUGCGCCAACCCUAGAGAUAGGGCGUUUCCUUCGGGAACGCAAUGACAGGUGGUGCAUGGUCGUCGUCAGCUCGUGUCGUGAGAUGUUGGGUUAAGUCCCGCAACGAGCGCAACCCUUGUUACUAGUUGCCAGCAUUAAGUUGGGCACUCUAGUGAGACUGCCGGUGACAAACCGGAGGAAGGUGGGGGCGACGUCGGAUCAUCAUGCCCCUUAUGACCUGGGCUACACACGUGCUACAAUGGACGGUACAACGAGUCGCGAACUCGCGAGGGCAAGCAAAUCUCUUAAAACCGUUCUCAGUUCGGACUGCAGGCUGCAACUCGCCUGCACGAAGUCGGAAUCGCUAGUAAUCGCGGAUCAGCAUGCCGCGGUGAAUACGUUCCCGGGCCCUGUACACACCGCCCGUCACACCAUGAGAGUUUGUAACACCCAAAGUCGGUGGGGUAACCUUUUAGGAGCCAGCCGCCUAAGGUGGGACAGAUGAUUAGGGUGAAGUCGUAACAAGCUAACCGUA
rnacentral:rRNA from 2 species